UUUCCUGCAUGUACUGGAUAUUUUUGGCCUCUGCACCCAGUUCCAUAUGUGGGGUAAUGCUGUCUUUGGGAGUACCAUUGGCAUCAGUGCUGCUUGUUGGAAUAGUUUCCUCCCUUUCCAAUGUAAGUAGAGGAUAUGCUGCUUGCUCGUGUAUCUGCUUAGUUGUAUUGCUCUCAUUGCUCACCAUGUUAUCCAUCGCUAUCUCCUUUUCCGAAACCGUAACAGAUUUCAAUGAUGUGAAAUGUUCGGUUACUUUUUCCUGUUCGCCCCUUGUCUUUUCCUCUGGUACACGUCCUACUUGGGCACCUGGAGCAUUUUCAACUCUUACUUCAUGUAUUUUGUUUGUUUCGUUGCAUGUUAUCAUCUCUCCGGAACUUGCUGCUGUUUUUCGUUCUGAUCCAAAAGGUUCCAAACUUACUCUUUCGGGUUCACUUAUUGUUGUUUCCUCCUCUUUUUGCACCUGUGUUGUGUUGUUGUUUGAGGAAUCUUCGCUGGUGGUCUCUCUUAAAUCUUCUUCUUGUUCCUCCUAUGAAUUCAUAAUUCGCCGUCAGAUGCGUGAGUAAACAGGGGAGGCAGGGGGGAGUAAGAAAAGAUUGGAAUAAUGUUUUUUGCUUCUAUUUUUUUAUCUUUGUUUUUUCCAUCUUUGACACCUACGAACAUUGGUAGUCUCCAGUAGACUUUUCCUUAGCCAGCUGUGGCUGAAAGGGAUUUCAUCUUAGUGAUCUUUUCUAGAGUAGUUUUAUGAACUGUCAUAUAAUGUCUGUGUAUAUCAAGGUGGUGUGUAUCCUGCAAACAAUUUACUAAUAUAAUUCAAGUUUGUAAUUUACAUCAAUACUUUGUUUCCUCUCGUUAAAUCAUUUUCAGCUGGACCUGUAUGUAAUUAACCUAUGUGCUGAAUAUUUCAUGCAGUUUGAGUUCAAUCAUUUUCUAUCAGCAACCUCUUUCCUAGACAGGAGGGAGUAAAACGGAUCAAAUCAUGCUGAUAAAAUAUUAAGAUGGAAUAUAAGUGUGC
rnacentral:lncRNA from 1 species